rnacentral:rRNA from 1 species
UAGUCAUAUGCUUGUCUCAAAGAUUAAGCCAUGCAUGUCUAAGUAUAAGCAACUUGUACUGUGAAACUGCGAAUGGCUCAUUAAAUCAGUUAUCGUUUAUUUGAUAGUACCUUACUACAUGGAUACCUGUGGUAAUUCUAGAGCUAAUACAUGCUAAAAACCCCGACUUCAGGAAGGGGUGUAUUUAUUAGAUAAAAAACCAACGCCCUUCGGGGCUCCUUGGUGAAUCAUAAUAACUUAACGAAUCGCAUGGCCUUGCGCCGGCGAUGGUUCAUUCAAAUUUCUGCCCUAUCAACUUUCGAUGGUAGGAUAGUGGCCUACCAUGGUGGCAACGGGUGACGGGGAAUUAGGGUUCGAUUCCGGAGAGGGAGCCUGAGAAACGGCUACCACAUCCAAGGAAGGCAGCAGGCGCGCAAAUUACCCAAUCCCGAUACGGGGAGGUAGUGACAAUAAAUACUGAUACGGGGCUCUUUUGGGUCUCGUAAUUGGAAUGAGAACAAUUUAAAUCCCUUAACGAGGA